rnacentral:tRNA from 1 species
AUUUAAGUAGCUUAAUUUAAGAGUGUAGUAUUGAAGAUACUGAGGUAAUUGUAUGAUUUUUAAAUA